UACGUAGGGUGCAAGCGUUAAUCGGAAUUACUGGGCGUAAAGCGUGCGCAGGCGGUUUUGUAAGUCAGAUGUGAAAUCCCCGGGCUUAACCUGGGAACUGCGUUUGAAACUACAAGGCUAGAGUGUGGCAGAGGGGGGUGGAAUUCCACGUGUAGCAGUGAAAUGCGUAGAGAUGUGGAGGAACACCGAUGGCGAAGGCAGCCCCCUGGGCAACAACUGACGCUGAGGAGCGAAAGCGUGGGGAGCGAACAGG
rnacentral:rRNA from 1 species